CCUACGGGAGGCAGCAGUGGGGAAUAUUGCACAAUGGGCGAAAGCCUGAUGCAGCAACGCCGCGGGAGUGAUGAAGGCCUUCGGGUCGUAAAACUCUGUCCUCAAGGAAGAUAAUGACGGUACUUGAGGAGGAAGCCCCGGCUAACUACGUGCCAGCAGCCGCGGUAAUACGUAGGGGGCUAGCGUUAUCCGGAUUUACUGGGCGUAAAGGGUGCGUAGGCGGUCUUUCAAGUCAGGAGUGAAAGGCUACGGCUCAACCGUAGUAAGCUCUUGAAACUGGGAGACUUGAGUGCAGGAGAGGAGAGUGGAAUUCCUAGUGUAGCGGUGAAAUGCGUAGAUAUUAGGAGGAACACCAGUUGCGAAGGCGGCUCUCUGGACUGU
rnacentral:rRNA from 1 species